CCUGAGUGAUAAUUAAACAUCAAGUCACUAGUGGUGAAAGGAAGCUGCUGGUAUCCUAACAACUUAAGCUAAUGCUGUAAUCAAGUUACUUUCAUGGCUCCUUUCUUUCAUUAGAGUAGAAAUGGUGGCCACAGAGAGCACUUAAUCCUUUCGCGUGCCUCUCCAUGAACUAAGAAGGUGGUCCUUGCUUAAAACAGAUAGACAAUCAUCAGACCACUGAGGCAGCCACCUGUAGCUUCAUUCACACUGGUGCUCAGCGUUUGCAGGAUCAGGGCCAGUAUUUAUAACUGCAAUCUACUGCAUAGCACUUUUUUGGGUUCUUGAUUCUUAACAGGUGCUCUGCAGACUGUGAAAGCAAUUGAAAGUAUUAUGGUUAGACACAUCAUGGAGAUUAACUUGUUAAAUGAUCAAUUCUGGCCUCAUGCUGGAAAUCUAAGCCAAUCGUCUGAAUGAAAUGUGUAAAUUCCUGUAUAAGAGAGAUUUAUCUCUUUCCAGACUUUUCAGUGCUCUGCACAAGCUGAAAGCAAGCAAGUGUAUAAUCUUUUCUGGGGGUGAUGCUAUAUAUUUGCUUCCACUAGGAAUAAUUUCCUAGGAUGUGGUGUCCAGCUGUGUGCAUGCAAUGGAUGUCCGCAGAAAGUCAAUGCAGGUACUUUGGUUUUGGCUCUGACUCCAGUGAAGUAUUUCUAAGCAUGCUUAACGCCAGGCACAUGACUACUCCAGUUAACAUUUGCAAGGCUUUCUACAGGCUUAAAGAUUUUUGCUGGUACAUGAACUCAGUGAACUAAUGUCCUAUUGCAUUUUAAUUUCAUCACUCUGACUCUCUGACUUCAAAGCCUGCUCGAAGUCUAGAGGAAAGUUCACAAUCCGCUUGAUUUGGCUACAGAAAAGCGGGUUUGUUGUUUGUGGUGCCAAAACAGGGAGAGCUCUUGAAAUAGAUCAG